GGGAAACUUCAGUGACAUCUCUACAACCUUACAGAGAAUGAAUAUAGAAUCAGAUUUAAAUAUCCCACUUUCCUCAAGGUGUACAGCAAUGCAAUUCAGUAAAAUGUGGAAAAGAGGAAGUGGAAAGAAGCUCCAAGAGCAAAACUCCAUCCAAAGUUAUGGGGGCUGGCUGGGCAAGACUGAAGUCGAAAGAGCACGCAUUCGGGAAGGGAUGGCCAGAAAUGGGCAGGACUCUCGUGAGCUCCGUCUGAAGCUUGAGGUCCACAGGAAGAGCAUGGGGACAGAAGAGCACGCAGG
rnacentral:lncRNA from 1 species